ACUGAGAUAGUUCAGUUGGUAGACCGUGAGACUCUUAUUCUCAGAGUUGUGGGUUUGAGCCCCAUGCUGGGCU